rnacentral:lncRNA from 1 species
CCCCUUCAGAGCAGCAGCUUCAAAUGUAGAAGGAUGUAGGAACCAACACUCUUUUCAGAGGCUGGGUGAUUUGAAUUUUUCUCUUUUCUUCUUUGGUAGGAAAUGAGGAUGCAGUACUGACACCCAGCAGCAGUCAUGCGGAUGAGAUUCAGUUUUAAGCUAUGUCUACUGAAGUCCUGCAGAGCCUAUACUUCACGAAAAUAUUUCUGGUCUUGCAAAACAUGUGGAGGCACUUGCUAUUUUAAAUCUUUGCCUACAACAAGAGUGUAAGGUUAGUAUUGUUUAUAUUCCACGAAGUCAGUCUGAUUUUACAGACGCUUCUUUUGGUUUUGUUUUUCCGUGUUACUGCCUUGCAUUGAAACUUAAGAACAGAGCCUAUGUCCAGGAGAAAAUGUCUUCAAAAGCUAUAUUCUCUCAUUAUUGUCAGUUUUUUUCAGCUGAAUAAUUACCCACCAAAAGAAAUUCUAGAAUGAACACCAGCAUAAAUGACAAUAACUACUUGUUUGUGUGAG